ensembl:lncRNA
GGAGAAUCUUUAAGCCUCAUCCCUCAACAAGUUCCAUCUCCUUUUACAAUGCUCUCCAUUAAAUAAAACUCCAGUGGCUUCAAAGUAUUUUACAUUUGGAUCCACAGUCUGUAGACCAGUGCUCUGCAAUAGGACUUUCUGCUGUGAUUUGCAUGUCCCCAUGGCUACUAUCUUGGACACUGCAGCUUUAGACUCUGGAAAAGAAGGGAAUGGCAACCCACUCAGUAUUCUUGCCUGGAGAAUCCCGUGGACAGAGGAGUCUGGCGAGCUACACUCCCUGGGGUUGCAAAGGCCUGGAAGGCAGAUAUGGAAUUGAACCAGCCUCAGUUCUCCUAAGACUAUGCCCAGGAUAUGGUGGACCAAAAAGAUGGAAAGAUUCUGGGUCCCUGAAUUAUCUGAUGGAGCAGAGAUACCCCAUCCGUCUUGAAUGACUCAUCUUCGGGCCAUGUGUUGAGAUUGCAGGAGGCUGCCUGGAGUGCUGUGUUGACAAGGAUGUGAGACCACAUCAGUGCUCACUGGAAAUGAAGGCCAUAAUCAUCUACGUCUUCCACAGGCACAGGAGGGGGAGUUCCCUGCAAUGGUGGGGAUUGCUGGAUUCCUAAGUCCUCUUCCCUUCUAACUUUACAGAAUUUUGCCUACCUAUCCUAAGUUAGCAUAUAAGAGUCUUUCCCCCUGUCUGUUCUAUACCACACACACCACUUGACAUAUCAAGUGUUUUAUCAAGUAGAACACAGGGUCCUCGCCUGAUAUCUCUCUCUGACUGGUCUUCUCCUCACCCACUUUCUCAUCUUCUGAGCCUCACCCUCAAGUCUGGAGUCUCUAGACUUAUGAGAGACGCCUAGGCUUCUCAGGCUUCUGAGUCAUUGUUUAACUUCCCUCUCACCUGACUCAGUGCUUAGGAAUCGCCGUGUUAAGAUGACAUGGUUCAGCCAGGUCCUUGCAGGAAGCAUUUGAAGGACAUUGGUAGCUAACAGGCAUAGUCCUCUGAGGGUGAUUCUGCCUCGUCUGGCUCAAUCAGUCUAAUAACUUGUGUAGCCCCCAGGAGGAUUCUGAUCUUCUGGGAAUCCAAUCACUAACAUAGCUUAGAAAAUAACUCAGAUAUAGAGAAUCCAUAUCUGCUUUCCCAUCCCCAAUCCCAAAUCGUUUCCAGGGAGUCGUGUUAUUUUGACCGUUUUCAAAAGUCACUGAAAAAUAGAGAAACAAUGUACGGGCAAAGGUUCAGUUGAAGAAAAUUGAAUCUACCCUGGGCAAUAGAAUCCACCUAGUUUAACUAGAGCAUGGCUUUCACAGGAUAAACCCCUUCCGACACUCCUGUUCCUAGGUCUAUAUAUCCCUUCUUCUUUAUUGGGCA